rnacentral:rRNA from 1 species
UGCGUAGAUAUCGGGAGGAAUACCAUUGUCGAAGUCGGCUCUCUAGUGUACACCUGACACUGAGUUGCGAAAGCGUGGCUAGCGUACGGGAUUAGAUACCCCGGUAGUCCACGCUGUAAACGAUGGAUACUAGGUGUAGGGGGUCAUUUAACCCCUCUGUGCCGAAGCAAACGCGUUAAGUAUCCCGCCUGGGGACUACGGCCGCAAGGUUAANACUCAAAGGAAUUUGACGGGGGCCCGCACAAGCAGCGGAGCGUGUGGUUUAAUUCGAUGAUACGCGAAGAACCUUACUUGGGCUGAACUACGUGGUAGUAGUGAAGCGAAAGCGGAUCGACCCUUCGGGGAGCCUCGAUAGGUGCUGCAUGGCUGUCGUCAGCUCGUGUCGUGAGAUGUUGGGUUAAGUCCCGCAACGAGCGCAACCCUCGUCGCUAGUUACAAGUGUCUAGCGAGACUGCCGGUAUCAAACCGGAGGAAGGUGGGGAUGACGUCAAGUCAGCAUGGUCUUUAUGUCCAGGGCUACACACACGCUACAAUGGUCGGUACAAUAGGUUGCCACACCGCGAGGUGGAGCUAAUCCUCAAAGCCGAUCUCAGUUCGGAUUGUAGUCUGCAACUCGACUACAUGAAGGCGGAGUUGCUAGUAACCGCGCGUCAGCAUAGUGCGGUGAAUGCGUUCCCGGGCCUUGUACACACCGCCCGUCACAUCAUGGGAGUCGGUAACACCUGAAGUCGGUGACCUAACCGAAAGGGGGGAGCUGCCUAAGUGGGAUCGUAACUGGGAUGAAGUCGUAA